AUGCAAUUUUGAAGCACGUUCCUUUAUUUGAGUAUCACUCAGUUUUGGAAAAACACACAAAACACCAAAUACUGAGUUAGGUUACAGACUCGUAAGCUGUCAACUGACGAUCCAGCUCAAUAAUUAGCUUAUCCAAAAUUGGUAGAUUUGUUUCAACCUUUAACUUUUUUCCACCCUGUAGAAAAACUUCAUUGGAAUUAGCAUCAUCAAAAUGUUUGAUGAUUCUUGCUCGCGUUUGUUAACUCUCGUCGGUAUAUUCAGAGUAUUGUAGAUCGCAGACCUUCUGCUCGUAGUAAGCAAAAUUAUCUCUUUGGAAUUUUAAGAACCCCAAAAGUCAUUUUAGAAGCUGGACUGCAGUUAUAAGUUCAAUCUCUUCUCUUUAAUGAUUUCCUGACAGCGUUGAUGAGUUCUAAAAUUGUUGUCCAAAACUCAUUCAUUACGAAUGUUUCUCUUUUGACAUUUCUUUCCACAAACACAGACUCAUGAACUGUUUUAGCUUUCUGAUUAGAGUCUUUAGCAAGAGUAUGAAGAGGUUUAGAAAAAGCUCUUGUUGCAUCCGCCCUUGCAGUCCAUAUAGUGCUGCUUGUUCUUUUAAGGACAAGGUUUAGAUCAUGACGAAUGGGAUCGCUUAGUUGAGUUUCAUUUAAGCAUUUGAUUGUAGCUUCCCAACGGUGGGUAGAGGCUGAAAAAAAGUUGUACACGAAUUUAAUUGAACAAAUCCAAAAUACGAUAUUGCUCCAACGGAUCCAACGCAGCUUUUAGCACCACUUAUUCCAACUAAAGCGAGUGUGCGGCACAAAAAAUGUAAAGUACAAUUUGUUAAUCUUAAAUAAAUGAGCCUGGAGGCCAUUGUAUUUGCCUGACAUGUAGCGAAAGGCAUGGGUAAUGAAGGAGAGGGUAGCGAGGGGGCGCAGUCGCUGUCUCAUUUGUUGCUCUUGCUACUUUUCUAAGAAACUGUGCAGACUGAUAGGCAGUACUGUUUCUUCUAUCAUGUGGCAUUCAUUAGCGACUUCUUCUCACAACAUAGCUUUCUAUGUGAACAAAAGUAUGCAUUGUACCAUCAUUUUUAUGGUAUUGCGUGAUAUUUGAAUUUUUCAACAUAAUAUGAUUUGAUAAAAAUAAUAAACUUAAAGAUAAAACCCAUAACUAAAUUAAAAUUCAUGGUGACGUUUCAAUUAUUACUUUAAUCAUCGUCAGAAUAAUAAGUUUCUUGAGCGGAUGCUUUAAAAUAAUUUUAAAGGAACAAACAAUAAUUAAUGAAAACGUAAAAAUGACAUUGACAAUCAUUGGGUUAAGUCAAUAAUUUCAAACACGCCAUGUCUUGUUGCGUGUUUAAGGGUGGCUUCAAAAGAAAUAUGGAUAAUGCCUCCUUGAUGCUGAGUUCCGUUGGAGAACUUGCAUGACCAAUGACUGAGAAGUCCUUACGACUAAUAGGGUGGUCAGAAUCAGUCAUAUGUUGGAAUACCGCUGAAUUUGGAAUUGUUCUUGAUCGUCUUCCUAAGUGAGGAGUGACACUUAAGUGUUCACAACAUCUGACAUUAAAGUGACGUCGAGUCUUCACGACGUACGUAGCUGCACAGCUACUACAUUUGAAUUGGUAUAUAAUGUUAGAUGCGAGAUCACUAGCAAUCAUGUCUUUCACAUGAAAACGAGAUCCUAUUCUUUCCAAAGUCGUGAAAGCAAAUCUUAAUUCUAUAGAGGGAAAUGCUUUUUUAAUUGUUCUACGGAUGUUGCGUCGGAUUUGUAAGCUGUGGUAACCAGUAUAUGGAAGUUUGAUAUAGAUCUUUUCUUUGAUUUCUUCUACUUUGCUGUUUGGUUGGAAUUUGUUACUGAAAAAACGUCUGAUGUAUCUUUCUAAGAAGUUCAACGAAAAACCAUUUUUAUUUAAGAUCACCUUUAUGUUUUCUAACUCUUCAUGUAGGAAUUGCCAGGUUGAACAGAUAGUGACAGCGCGGUGAACAAGUAUAUAGGCCGUUCCAAGAUGCUGUCAAAAUUAAAUCAAUAUGGCUACUGGAAGGCAAACAUUGAAUAUUAUUCUAUCAGGUUCUUAUGGUUUUAGAUCAUUUUAGUUGUUGUACAAAGAUUAAUUUAACAUUUUCUCUGGAAGUAUUAAUUUAGAAAGAUAAUAUGCCUCAUUGGUGUUGUGUUUUGAAGUGUGAAAUGCAAAGUAAUCGUGAUAAAGUUAGCUUUUACCACUUACCAUCAGUGCUACAUUCUAAGCACAAAACUGAACCAAUUUAACUAAAUAAGUUAUAGUUAUCAUCUGAGAGACAACAACAAUGGUAAAAUGCAAUAAAAUAUAAAGAUUUUACUAGCAAAAUGGAAAUUCCCCUGUAAUCAUCUUAUAUCUGGAAAACCAGCCGACUUAACUGAUAAUAACAAUCCAGAUUGGGUUCCUUCAAUAAAUAUGGGGUAUAUAAACACAAUGAAAUGAGUUCCCCAAAAUCUAAAAUGGGAAUUAAGGUACCAAAGGAGAAUUAAAAGAAAAGGGUACCUACAAGAAAAAAUUGCUUUUUUAUUCCUCUUGAAAUGAUUUAUAAGACACUGGACUGUCUUAUAUUCUACAAAUACUAGGUAGGUCUAUGAUUUUACACAUUUUUCAUUAAUGAUACAUUACUGUUACUUUAGUAGAUUUAGAAACAGUGGAUAGUUAGUGGUAGAUAGUAGUUAUUUGGUAUAAAAGCUAGUUUAGUAGAAGACAAGAUUUUGCCAAAUAGUCAAACAUAUAUUACAAUGGAAAAAUUAACAAAUACAUUUUAUGUCAUUAACAUUAACACAGGAUUUUAAAUAUCAGCUUAAGAAAUUAGCUUUAUCUUGUGAAAGUAUAGAAAAUGAUGAUGCCAAAACUAAAAAUUAUACUGGUUUAGCAAAUUACAAUGUUUUUAAAAUAGCUUUAAAGUAUAUUACACCAUUUAUCAAAUACCAUCAAAAUACUGUUUUGUCACCAAGUGAUCAAGUAUUGCUUACUUUAGCUAAACUAAGCUUAAAGUUAGAUUAUAAAGAUUUGGGAUAUAGGUUUAGUAUUUCACCCUACCCGGUAUCAACUUAUUUCAAAAAUACUUUGUAUAUAAUGUGUCUUAGGUUAAAAAAAUUUGUGUUCUGGCCUGAUAGAGAUAUUUUAAAGAAAACUAUGCAAAAUUCACUUAAAGAAUCUUUUCAUGGAAAUACUACAGGUAUAAUUGAUUUUGGACGAAUGUUUGUAUGAAACGAAUUAUUUAUUGUUCUGAAGCUAGUUAUUUGAGGCAUUUUUGUAAUUAACUAUUCUAAUUGGGAAAUAAGCCACAAUUUAACUUAAAAAAUAAUUUUAUUAAUCUUUCGACUUCCAAAUCAGACGUCAUUGUCAAAAUACAAAAUAUUAUUAUUUAUGCAUAUUAUUACCUGUAAAUAUUUCUUCUGAUUGUUAAUUGUAAAGGAUUGAAAAAUUACCAUUUAUUUUAUUUUUUUUAGAAUCAGCUGAGAGAAGUGGUCUACAAAAACCCAGGAAGGAAACGGAAUAUGUGGCUACGAAAGGCAAAAGAAAGGUUUACAAAGCAAAUGUGACACAUUUUUUUGAAAUAUUUAGGAAUAUCAGUAAAUUGCAUUAAAAAAAUGUAUGAAAAGAUUUUGUUCAAUAAAAAUGUUUAUAUUUA
rnacentral:lncRNA from 1 species